GAUGAACGCUGGCGGCGUGCCUAAUACAUGCAAGUCGAGCGAACAGACGAGGAGCUUGCUCCUCUGACGUUAGCGGCGGACGGGUGAGUAACACGUGGAUAACCUACCUAUAAGACUGGGAUAACUUCGGGAAACCGGAGCUAAUACCGGAUAAUAUAUUGAACCGCAUGGUUCAAUAGUGAAAGACGGUUUUGCUGUCACUUAUAGAUGGAUCCGCGCCGCAUUAGCUAGUUGGUAAGGUAACGGCUUACCAAGGCAACGAUGCGUAGCCGACCUGAGAGGGUGAUCGGCCACACUUGAACUGAGACACGGUCCAUACUCCUACGGGAGGCAGCAGUAGGGAAUCUUCCGCAAUGGGCGAAAGCCUGACGGAGCAACGCCGCGUGAGUGAUGAAGGUCUUCGGAUCGUAAAACUCUGUUAUUAGGGAAGAACAAAUGUGUAAGUAACUAUGCACGUCUUGACGGUACCUAAUCAGAAAGCCACGGCUAACUACGUG
rnacentral:rRNA from 1 species